UUCUCCUCUUCACCCUCUCUGUUUCCUUGAUCAUGAUUUUUUUUUCUUUUCUGAAUACAGUAUCUAUGCCUCUAAUCAGGAGAAAACUUGCAGCUGUGAACUAGAAUCUGACAAAUACUCUACCUGUGGCUUUAGGAUGCUGGCUGGCAGAAAUCAGGAGCAAUGCUCACAGGAGCAGUGGGAGACAAAGAAGAGAGGGGAGCAGAGAGGACCAUCCCUAGACGUUCCUUCCGGCUGCAAGCUUUCAGAGCCACUUGUGCCUAGGAAUAGCUGUCAAAGUCUUCCCAUUAUACCAUGAUGAGAGGUAGUCAGUGGUGGCGGUGGUGAUGAGAGCCCAAACUUCAAAAUGAUGUUUCCUGAAAAUCAGAGCAGAAGGAAAGUCCAGCCGCCAACAGCAGAAGCCAUAUCAAUAUUUCAGCAGCCUCCUCCGGCUUGCUGUUCUAGGAAUUUUGAUUGUUAUUGCAAUUAAACUGUACUAAAGAGAGUAUCAUUUACAAAACAAACGAAUCCCUUCCAAAGAGGUUAUUUUCCUGGUUAAUGACCUGUCCUCGGGCCUGUGCCUCUAUUGUGAUUCCCAGUGGGGGAGAGAGAGUGAUCGCCCCAAUCAUCUUUAUUAAGGGUUUCUCUCCCUUUUUGCUGAAUGAAAUGUCAGAGAACUAAAACGUCUCCUAACCCCCUCCCCCUCACAAUUUCCCUUCCCCCUCCGUGC
rnacentral:lncRNA from 1 species